rnacentral:rRNA from 1 species
UACAGAGGGUGCAAGCGUUGUUCGGAAUUAUUGGGCGUAAAGGGCGCGUAGGCGGUGCGGUAAGUCCGCAGUGAAAACUCUGGGCUCAACCCAGAGAUGCCACCCGAUACUGCUGUGACUUGAGUACGGUAGGGGAGCAGGGAAUUCCUGGUGUAGCGGUGAAAUGCGUAGAUAUCUGGAGGAACACCGGUGGCGAAGGCGGCAUCCUGGACCGGUAUUGACGCUGAGGCGCGAAAGCUAGGGGAGCAAACGGG